UACGGGGGGGGCAAGCGUUGUUCGGAAUCACUGGGCGUAAAGGGCGCGUAGGCGGUCCGCUAAGCGUGUGGUGAAAGCUCGGGGCUCAACCCCGAGUCGGCCAUGCGAACUGGUGGACUGGAGCCUGUCAGAGGCAAGCGGAAUUCCAGGUGUAGCGGUGAAAUGCGUAGAUAUCUGGAGGAACACCGGUGGCGAAGGCGGCAUCCUGGACCGGCAUUGACGCUGAGGAGCGAAAGCCAGGGGAGCAAACGGG
rnacentral:rRNA from 1 species